rnacentral:tRNA from 1 species
CCCUGAAGUCCUCGGGCCGCAAGAACGGCCUGGCCUGCCGCUCCCAGCACUCCCUCUCC